AUCUGAUAGCUUCUCUGGAUCCCAAAAGUUGCCAAAUACCAUCUAAUCUUGGAAGCUAAAUGGGGCCAGCCCUGGUUAGUACUUGGGUGGGAGACUGCUAACAAACACCAAGUGCUUUAGGUU
rfam:Anolis carolinensis chromosome 5, whole genome shotgun sequence.